rnacentral:lncRNA from 1 species
CGGAUGUCCUACUCUGGAUUCGGGACAGAGAUCACCGAGGAGGAUGACACAGUUCCACCAGCCAAUGCCUGCCAAAGCUGCCAAGAGGCUGAUGUCCGUGCCAUCUAAGCAGGCGGAUCCUGGCCAAACCCAGCUGAGCAAGUCCGCACCCAGCCUGAUGGAGCAGUCACCGGAUUCCAGCUGGUUGCUCCGGAUUCGGGCUCACAUCCACACACGACUUGGGGGAAGUGAAAUGGAAGCAGAAAUCCAAGGAAUAGAGGGUUCACGGCCUUUUCCGUGUCCCAGACCAGUAAGGACCCCCAAGCUACUGGCUCCAUUGGACCAUGGACAGAGGGAAAUAGCUCCGCUACCGAUGUUCAGGGACCCUUGGCCCCCAAAAGUCACCCCUCUUUUGCCUUCUACCUUGACAAUUAGUACAAGGAGAGAAUGGCAGAGCAGGAGAGCAUCUCAAGUGCUUCCAAUAACCUGGGGAUGCAGCGACGGAAGAAGUUCUAGUAGUGUGAGCAGCCAAGGCUCCCUGGAUCUGGAGGCCAAUGCCAAGUUCUUAGGGACUCCACCAAACCAGAAGGACUCGCUAAAGGUGGAGCCUUCUGUUAAAGGUGCUUGUGAGAACUAUGACAUGGACCUGCCAUUAUCAGUGUGCUCAGCACUAGAGGAAACAGGAACAAAUCUAAGACCUUUGGAUUCUGAUAAAAGCCAAGGAAUUGAUGACAAGAGUGCAGCGGAGAGCAUAUUCAUCAUAUAUCAAACUGAAUGGAAGGAAGACUGGGAUACGCUUCCCAGAAGUGCUGAAACAAGGUCAUCAGGUGGCAUAGAGACAACAUGCUACUGCCAGGAUAAUGACGGAGUCAAGCUUUGCAAUUCAAGUUGUGUAGAAGAAACAAUUCUAGAUAACGUAAAUGACCCAGAUGAGCUGUUAGAGGAAGACGUUAGACCCGGAGAAUGUGAGGUAGACUCUGUGAUUCCAGAAAGCCAUGGAGACAACAUCAUACAGCUCAAAGACUGCGACAACAAGGGACAGUCAGCACGCAACCCACUACACACCAAGCAACUGGUUUCCACAGUCACCAUCACAUUGCCUGAGUCUGAUCAUCUUACCGAAGUGAAGCACAAGGCUAUGAAGAUGCUAAAGAACAAGGACAGGGCUUGUUCCGUUGCCAAUCUCACAAAUCAGCUGUCCAAUGCACAACCAUGCAAAGAACAAAGCUGGCGCAACAGAAAGUCCAAGAGCCACCCGAGGAACACGAACGCACCUGCACCAUCAAAGGCUAACAGCAGAAGACCUCCAGAUGUCAUCGUCAGUGGAAAGGGUGCUGUAAAAUUAGGUGUCUAUACCACAAAUGCAGAAAAGGUCAGUAAGAAACGUUCUCCGCUUCCUUUGUUGCAUGAUGCGCCGGUGGAAGCUCUCAGAGAAAACGUGAAACACACCAGCGCUGACAAGCAAAACUCGACAAAGUCUGAAUCCACAGGUCAAAAACAGCUAGUUCAGCAGGAGAUAAGAAGCACAUGGCAGCCCAAGAGAGCAGCUGUGGCAGAGAACCUAAGAGCAAAAUCAGCUGUCGAAUACAUUGCCUACACUGACAUGUUCCAGGAGAUCAAUGGUAGGGAUGAGGGACCUGCCAUCUAUGAAAUGUUCGCCACCCCUGUAUAUACAAACCUCAGACUGUCCACCAUGUAUGAGAAGGUCCACAACAGGGAAAUCAAGUCUGCUCCAGCCAGGAAGAACCAUGUGCGCAGGAGCAGCAAAUGUCCCAAACCUCUGGAGAAGAAACAAAAUAAAACCCAGGGGGUGAAAGUGAAGAAUAGAGCAGGUGUUCUGCCAAAGGGGAAAUCUCGCCGGUUACUGGUCAGAGAUGUUGAGCAGGAGAACGUGGUCUUGGUCAAUCGGCCUAUUCAGCUGUCUAAGGCUGAGAUGGUCUUUGAAG